rnacentral:rRNA from 1 species
AGAUAGUUGGUGGGGUAAUGGCCUACCAAGUCUACGAUCUUUAGCUGGUUUUAGAGGAUGAUCAGCAACACUGGGACUGAGACACGGCCCAGACUCCUACGGGAGGCAGCAGUGGGGAAUCUUGGACAAUGGGCGCAAGCCUGAUCCAGCCAUGCCGCGUGUGUGAAGAAGGCCUUCGGGUUGUAAAGCACUUUCAGUGGUGAGGAAGGGGUGCUAGUUAAUAGCUAGCAUCAUUGACGUUAGCCACAGAAGAAGCACCGGCUAACUCCGUGCCAGCAGCCGCGGUAAUACGGAGGGUGCGAGCGUUAAUCGGAAUUACUGGGCGUAAAGCGCACGUAGGCGGUUUGUUAAGCAAGAUGUGAAAGCCCAGGGCUCAACCUUGGAAUUGCAUUUUGAACUGGCAAGCUAGAGUUUUGAAGAGGGCGGUAGAAUUUCCAGUGUAGCGGUGAAAUGCGUAGAUAUUGGAAGGAAUACCAGUGGCGAAGGCGGCCACCUGGUCAAAAACUGACGCUGAGGAG